UUAAGCGAACAAGCGUACACGGUGGAUGCCCUGGCAGUCAGAGGCGAUGAAGGACGUGCUAAUCUGCGAAAAGCGCCGGUAAGGUGAUAUGAACCGUUAUAACCGGCGAUGUCCGAAUGGGGAAACCCGGUGCACUUCGGUGCAUCAUCGUUAGCUGAAUACAUAGGCUAACGAAGCGAACCGGGGGAACUGAAACAUCUAAGUACCCCGAGGAAAAGAAAUCAACCGAGAUUCCCCCAGUAGCGGCGAGCGAACGGGGAACAGCCCAGAGCCUGAAUCAGCUUGUGUGUCAGUGGAACGGUCUGGAAAGGCCGGCGAUACAGGGUGACAGCCCCGUACACGAAGGCACACAGGCUGUGAGCUCGAUGAGUAGGGCGGGACACGUGAUAUCCUGUCUGAAGAUGGGGGGACCAUCCUCCAAGGCUAAAUACUCCUGACUGACCGAUAGUGAACCAGUACCGUGAGGGAAAGGCGAAAAGAACCCCGGCGAGGGGAGUGAAACAGAACCUGAAACCGUGUACGUACAAGCAGUGGGAGCCUUCGUAAGAGGGUGACUGCGUACCUUUUGUAUAAUGGGUCAGCGACUUAUAUUCUGUAGCAAGGUUAACCGUAUAGGGGAGCCGAAGGGAAACCGAGUCUUAAUUGGGCGUUAAGUUGCAGGGUAUAGACCCGAAACCCGGUGAUCUAGCCAUGGGCAGGUUGAAGGUUGGGUAACACUAACUGGAGGACCGAACCGACUAAUGUUGAAAAAUUAGCGGAUGACCUGUGGCUGGGGGUGAAAGGCCAAUCAAACCGGGAGAUAGCUGGUUCUCCCCGAAAGCUAUUUAGGUAGCGCCUCGUGAACUCAUCUCCGGGGGUAGAGCACUGUUUCGGCUAGGGGGCCAUCCCGGCUUACCAACCCGAUGCAAACUGCGAAUACCGGAGAAUGUUAUCACGGGAGACACACGGCGGGUGCUAACGUCCGUCGUGAAGAGGGAAACAACCCAGACCGCCAGCUAAGGUCCCAAAGUCAUGGUUAAGUGGGAAACGAUGUGGGAAGGCCCAGACAGCCAGGAUGUUGGCUUAGAAGCAGCCAUCAUUUAAAGAAAGCGUAAUAGCUCACUGGUCGAGUCGGCCUGCGCGGAAGAUGUAACGGGGCUAAACCAUGCACCGAAGCUGCGGCAGCGACACUAUGUGUUGUUGGGUAGGGGAGCGUUCUGUAAGCCUGCGAAGGUGUGCUGUGAGGCAUGCUGGAGGUAUCAGAAGUGCGAAUGCUGACAUAAGUAACGAUAAAGCGGGUGAAAAGCCCGCUCGCCGGAAGACCAAGGGUUCCUGUCCAACGUUAAUCGGGGCAGGGUGAGUCGACCCCUAAGGCGAGGCCGAAAGGCGUAGUCGAUGGGAAACAGGUUAAUAUUCCUGUACUUGGUGUUACUGCGAAGGGGGGACGGAGAAGGCUAUGUCAGCCGGGCGACGGUCGUCCCGGUUUAAGCGUGUAGGCUGACUUUCCAGGCAAAUCCGGAAGGUUAAGGCUGAGGCGUGAUGACGAGGCACCACGGUGCUGAAGUGACAAAUGCCCUGCUUCCAGGAAAAGCCUCUAAGCAUCAGGUAACAUCAAAUCGUACCCCAAACCGACACAGGUGGUCAGGUAGAGAAUACCAAGGCGCUUGAGAGAACUCGGGUGAAGGAACUAGGCAAAAUGGUGCCGUAACUUCGGGAGAAGGCACGCUGACAUGUAGGUGAAGCCCCUGCGGGUGGAGCUGAAGUCAGUCGAAGAUACCAGCUGGCUGCAACUGUUUAUUAAAAACACAGCACUGUGCAAACACGAAAGUGGACGUAUACGGUGUGACGCCUGCCCGGUGCCGGAAGGUUAAUUGAUGGGGUUAUCGCAAGAGAAGCUCCUGAUCGAAGCCCCGGUAAACGGCGGCCGUAACUAUAACGGUCCUAAGGUAGCGAAAUUCCUUGUCGGGUAAGUUCCGACCUGCACGAAUGGCGUAAUGAUGGCCAGGCUGUCUCCACCCGAGACUCAGUGAAAUUGAACUCGCUGUGAAGAUGCAGUGUACCCGCGGCAAGACGGAAAGACCCCGUGAACCUUUACUACAGCUUGACACUGAACAUUGAGCCUUGAUGUGUAGGAUAGGUGGGAGGCUUUGAAGCGUGGACGCCAGUCUGCGUGGAGCCAACCUUGAAAUACCACCCUUUAAUGUUUGAUGUUCUAACCUGGCGCCGUGAUCCGGCGUGGGGACAGUGUCUGGUGGGUAGUUUGACUGGGGCGGUCUCCUCCCAAAGUGUAACGGAGGAGCACGAAGGUCAGCUAAUCCUGGUCGGACAUCAGGAGGUUAGUGCAAUGGCAUAAGCUGGCUUGACUGCGAGAGUGACGGCUCGAGCAGGUGCGAAAGCAGGUCAUAGUGAUCCGGUGGUUCUGUAUGGAAGGGCCAUCGCUCAACGGAUAAAAGGUACUCCGGGGAUAACAGGCUGAUACCGCCCAAGAGUUCAUAUCGACGGCGGUGUUUGGCACCUCGAUGUCGGCUCAUCACAUCCUGGGGCUGAAGUAGGUCCCAAGGGUAUGGCUGUUCGCCAUUUAAAGUGGUACGCGAGCUGGGUUUAGAACGUCGUGAGACAGUUCGGUCCCUAUCUGCCGUGGGCGCUGGAGAAUUGAGGGGGGCUGCUCCCAGUACGAGAGGACCGGAGUGGACGCAUCACUGGUGUUCGGGUUGUCAUGCCAAUGGCACUGCCCGGUAGCUAAAUGCGGAAGAGAUAAGUGCUGAAAGCAUCUAAGCACGAAACUUGCCCCGAGAUGAGUUCUCCCUGAGACUGUAAGUCUCCUGAAGGAACGUUGAAGACGACGACGUUGAUAGGCCGGGUGUGUAAGCGCAGCGAUGCGUUGAGCUAACCGGUACUAAUGAACCGUGAGGCUUAACCUU
rnacentral:rRNA from 1 species